AGGUAGAGGUUUGUUUUGUCCUUACUGGUUUCUGUUUUCCUGUAGGUGGAUUGCUCAGGCUAUGAACUAGAGCACUUACAUACCAAAGUGACUUCACUGUGUAACCGGAUAGAGCAGAUUCCGUGCUACAAUGCCAAGGAUCGCCUGGCUCAGUCAGAUAUGGCCAAGCGGGUAGCCAACUUACUGCGGGUAGUUCUGAGCCUUCAGCACACUCCUGACGCCACCUCCAACUCCACUCCGGACCCUCAGCGAGUCCCUUUGCGUCUUUUGGCUCCCCACAUUGGCAGGCUCCCUAUGC
rnacentral:lncRNA from 1 species